AGCGAACGCUGGCGGCAGGCCUAACACAUGCAAGUCGAACGAACUCUUCGGAGUUAGUGGCGGACGGGUGAGUAACACGGGGGAACGUGCCUUUAGGUUCGGGAUAACUCAGGGAAACUGGUGCUAAUACAGAAUGUGCCCUUCGGGGGAAAGAUUGAUCGCCUUUAGAGCGGCCCGCGUCUGUUUAGCUAGUUGGGGAGGUAAAGGCUCAUCAAGGCGAGGCUCAGUAGCUGGUUUGAGAGGAUGAUCAGCCACAUUGGGACUGAGACACGGUCCAAACUCCUACGGGAUGCAGCAGUGGGGAAUCUUGCGAAAUGGGCGAAAGCCUGACGCAGCCAUGCCGGGUGAAUGAUGAAGGUCUUAGGAUUGUAAAAUUCUUUCAUCGGGGACGAUAAUGACGGUACCCGGAGAAGAAGCCCCGGCUAACUUCGUG
rnacentral:rRNA from 1 species